AGUGAACGCUGGCGGUAGGCCUAACACAUGCAAGUCGAACGGCAGCACAGUAAGAGCUUGCUCUUACGGGUGGCGGGUGGCGGACGGGUGAGGAAUACAUCGGAAUCUACUUUUUCGUGGGGGAUAACGUAGGGAAACUUACGCUAAUACCGCAUACGACCUACGGGUGAAAGCAGGGGAUCUUCGGACCUUGCGCGAUUGAAUGAGCCGAUGUCGGAUUAGCUAGUUGGCGGGGUAAAGGCCCACCAAGGCGACGAUCCGUAGCUGGUCUGAGAGGAUGAUCAGCCACCCUGGAACUGAGACACGGCCCAGACUCCUACGGGAGGCAGCAGUGGGGAAUAUUGGACAAUGGGCGCAAGCCUGAUCCAGCCAUACCGCGUGGGUGAAGAAGGCCUUCGGGUUGUAAAGCCCUUUUGUUGGGAAAGAAAAGCAGCAGGUUAAUACCCCGCUGUUCUGACGGUACCCAAAGAAUAAGCACCGGCUAACUUCGUG
rnacentral:rRNA from 1 species